rnacentral:rRNA from 1 species
CCCAGACUCCUACGGGAGGCAGCAGUGGGGAAUAUUGCACAAUGGGGGAAACCCUGAUGCAGCGACGCCGCGUGAGUGAAGAAGUAUUUCGGUAUGUAAAGCUCUAUCAGCAGGGAAGAAAAUGACGGUACCUGAUUAAGAAGCCCCGGCUAACUACGUGCCAGCAGCCGCGGUAAUACGUAAGGGGCAAGCGUUAUCCGGAUUUACUGGGUGUAAAGGGAGCGUAGACGGUGAUGCAAGUCAGAAGCGAAAGCCCGGGGCUCAACUCCGGGACUGCUUUUGAAACUGUGUGACUGGAGUGCAGGAGAGGUAAGCGGAAUUCCUGGUGUAGCGGUGAAAUGCGUAGAUAUCAGGAGGAACACCAGUGGCGAAGGCGGCUUACUGGACUGUAACUGACGUUGAGGCUCGAAAGCGUGGGGAGCAAACAGGAUUAGAUACCCCGGUAGG